ACCUACCGAUUGAAUGGUCCGGUGAGGCCUCGGGAUUGUGGUCUGGUUGCUUUAUUGGAACCUGACUGUGAGAACCUGUCCAAACCUUAUCAUUUAGAGGAAGGUGAAGUCGUAACAAGGUUUCCGUAGGUGAACCUGCGGAAGGAUCAUUA
rnacentral:rRNA from 1 species